GACGAACGCUGGCGGCGUGGAUUAGGCAUGCAAGUCGAACGGUAUCAUCCUUUCGGGGGUGAGAGAGUGGCGAACUGGUGAGUAACACGUAGGUUAUCUACCCUCAAGACGGGGACAACCCAGGGAAACUUGGGCUAAUACCGGAUGUGAGCAACUUUUAGUUGUUUGAAAGGUGGCGUAAGCUGUCGCUUGGGGAUGAGCCUGCGUCCUAUUAGUUAGUUGGUGAGGUAACGGCUCACCUAGGCAAUGAUAGGUAGGCGGCCUUAACGGGUGGUCGCCCACACUGGGAUUGAGAUACGGCCCAGACUCCUACGGGAGGCAGCAGUCGAGAAUAGUCUACAAUGGUCGGAAGACUGAUAGUGCGACGCCGCGUGAACGAUGAAUCCCUUCGGGGUGUAAAGUUCUUCUAUAUGUGAGCAGUGCUUCUUAUAUUAACAGUAUGGGGAGAGAGAUAUUAGCAUAUGAAUAAGCAACGGCUAACUCCGUGCCAGCAGCCGCGGUAAA
rnacentral:rRNA from 1 species